GGGGUGCACAUUGGCCAAUCCCUAGACCCCCCUCUUGGCAUUCGCAAGAGUCAGUUGGCGCCUUUUGAGCAAACCAACUUGAGCCCGGCAAAACCAAGCUAGCGCAAACGGCUGCCUUUCCCCAAAGGUGGUCUUUUCCAGCAAAAUCAAGACAAUGCGACAUUAAACAUAAUAUGUCAGAUGCUGUCUCAUGCCUGCUGAAGUCCUUUUAAAACAAGUAUAGAUUUUGAGUUUCAAGUACACUUCUUAUUACAGAAUGUCAAUGCGGACUGUUCUUGUGCUCUUUGCGAUUCUUUUCUUGAUACAAACAUAUCCUUGUCAUGCUUGGAGAAGACGGCGAACAACUACGCGGCCAAAAUAUUGUAACUCAGAGUGCCUAAAGAGUCCUUACUGCAUGACGGUGUUUGUUAAUGACCGCGGACAGCAUCUGUGGUUUCGUUUCGUGGACUGCGCCUCCUCUUCUUGCGGCUAUGGUUGCAAGUGUGUUUACUUCCAAAGUAGACAGAUGAAGUUUGGCAAGAUGGACUACUACAGGUGCAGCACAUAAAACACUCAACCUGGAACACUAACAAAGAAACAGAAAGCUUUAAUGAUUGGGUGGGAAGGGGGAAGGGCUUGUCUCUUGGCACCGAAAGAAAGGAGGGCUUGAAAUGAUAUUUAGAAUAGUUUAAAAUCAGUGACGUGGGUUUUUGUAGCAUAACCUCCCAGGAAAGGGGAGCUCUUUCGGAAAUGUGCCCUCAUUUAUGCCUUAUCCCACAAUCGUCAAUAAUCUAAGAGAUGAUGUACAUCCUUUGUUUGAAUCUGGCUAGGAUUAGCCGCUUUACUCAGUUUAUUACUGAUUAACAAUACAACUCAGAUAAUAAA